AAUGGGCGAAAGCCUGAUCCAGCGACGCCGCGUGUGUGAAGAAGGCCUGCGGGUUGUAAAGCACUUUUAGUGGGGAUGAAAAGCCUAGAGCUAAUACCUCUGGGUCUUGACCUAACCCACAGAAAAAGCACCGGCUAACUCUGUGCCAGCAGCCGCGGUAAUACAGAGGGUGCGAGCGUUAAUCGGAAUUACUGGGCGUAAAGCGUGCGUAGACGGUUAUUUAAGUCGGGUGUGAAAGCCCCGGGCUCAACCUGGGAAUUGCAUUCGAGACUGGAUAGCUAGGGUACGGUAGAGGGAAGUGGAAUUUCCGGUGUAGCGGUGAAAUGCGUAGAUAUCGGAAGGAACAUCAGUGGCGAAAGCGACUUCCUGGACCAGUACCGACGUUCAGGCACGAAAGCGUGGGGAGCAAA
rnacentral:rRNA from 1 species